rnacentral:rRNA from 1 species
AUUGAACGCUGGCGGCAUGCCUUACACAUGCAAGUCGAACGGUAACGGGCCUUCGGGUGCCGACGAGUGGCGAACGGGUGAGUAAUGUAUCGGAACGUACCUUUCAGUGGGGGAUAACGUAGCGAAAGUUACGCUAAUACCGCAUAUUCUGUGAGCAGGAAAGCAGGGGAUCGCAAGACCUUGCGCUGAUUGAGCGGCCGAUAUCAGAUGAGCUAGUUGGUGAGGUAAAGGCUCACCAAGGCGACGAUCUGUAGCGGGUCUGAGAGGAUGAUCCGCCACACUGGAACUGAGACACGGUCCAGACUCCUACGGGAGGCAGCAGUGGGGAAUUUUGGACGAUGGGGGCAACCCUGAUCCAGCCAUGCCGCGUGAGUGAAGAAGGCCUUCGGGUUGUAAAGCUCUUUCGGCCGGGAAGAAAUCGUAUGGGUUAAUACCCUGUGCGGAUGACGGUACCGGCAUAAGAAGCACCGGCUAACUACGUGCCAGCCGCCGCAGUAAAAC